rnacentral:rRNA from 1 species
UCGGGAAUUUUGCGCAAUGGGCGACAGCCUGACGCAGCGACGCCGCGUGGGGGAUGAAGGUCUUCGGAUUGUAAACCCCUUUCGGCAGGGAAGAUGGAACGGGUAACCGUUCGGACGGUACCUGCAGAAGCAGCCACGGCUAACUUCGUGCCAGCAGCCGCGGUAAUACGAAGGUGGCAAGCGUUGUUCGGAUUUACUGGGCGUACAGGGAGCGUAGGCGGUUGGGUAAGCCCUCCGUGAAAUCUCCGGGCCUAACCCGGAAAGUGCGGAGGGGACUGCUCGGCUAGAGGAUGGGAGAGGAGCGCGGAAUUCCCGGUGUAGCGGUGAAAUGCGUAGAGAUCGGGAGGAAGGCCGGUGGCGAAGGCGGCGCUCUGGAACAUUUCUGACGCUGAGGCUCGAAAGCGUGGGGAGCAAACAGGAUUAGAUACCCUAGUAGUCCCUGAGCGGGCUGGCAAGGCGCAU